CCCAGUAACGGCGAAGUGGAAGCGGCAACAGCUCAAAUUUGAAAUCUGGCUCCUAGAGCCCGAGUUGUAAUUUGUAGAGGAUGCUUUUGAUGCGGUGCCUUCCGAGUUCCCUGGAACGGGACGCCAUAGAGGGUGAGAGCCCCGUCUGGUCGGAUGCCAAAUCUCUGUAAAGCUCCUUCGACGAGUCGAGUAGUUUGGGAAUGCUGCUCAAAAUGGGAGGUAUAUGUCUUCUAAAGCUAAAUAUUGGCCAGAGACCGAUAGCGCACAAGUAGAGUGAUCGAAAGAUGAAAAGCACUUUGAAAAGAGGGUUAAAUAGUACGUGAAAUUGUUGAAAGGGAAGCGCCUAUGACCAGACUUGGGCCCGGUGAAUCAUCCAGCGUUCUCGCUGGUGCACUUUGCCGGGCACAGGCCAGCAUCAGUUUGUCUUGGGGGAAAAAGGCUUUGGGAACGUGGCUCCCUCGGGAGUGUUAUAGACCAUUGCAUAAUACCCUGGGACGGACUGAGGUUCGCGCAUCUGCAAGGAUGCUGGCGUAAUGGUCAUCAGCGACCCGUCUUGAAACACGGACCAAGGAGUCGUCUUCGUAUGCGAGUGUUCGGGUGUAAAACCCCUACGCGUAAUGAAAGUGAACGCAGGUGAGAGCUUCGGCGCAUCAUCGACCGAUCCUGAUGUUCUCGGAUGGAUUUGAGUAAGAGCAUACGGGGCCGGACCCGAAAGAAGGUGAACUAUUCCUGUAUAGGGUGAAGCCAGAGGAAACUCUGGUGGAGGCUCGCAGCGGUUCUGACGUGCGAAUCGAUCGUCAAAUAUGGGAAUGGGGGCGAAAGACUAAUCG
rnacentral:rRNA from 1 species